rnacentral:rRNA from 1 species
UAGGGAAUCUUGCACAAUGGGCGAAAGCCUGAUGCAGCAACGCCGCGUGAAGGAUGAAGGCCUUCGGGUUGUAAACUUCUGUUCUAAGGGAAGAAACAAAUGACGGUACCUUAGGAGCAAGCCCCGGCUAACUACGUGCCAGCAGCCGCGGUAAUACGUAGGGGGCAAGCGUUAUCCGGAAUUAUUGGGCGUAAAGAGUGCGUAGGUGGUUACCUAAGCGCAAGGUUUAAUUUAGAGGCUCAACCUCUACUUGCCUUGCGAACUGGGCUACUUGAGUGCAGGAGGGGAAAGCGGAAUUCCUAGUGUAGCGGUGAAAUGCGUAGAUAUUAGGAGGAACACCAGCGGCGAAGGCGGCUUUCUGGACUGUAACUGACACUGAGGCACGAAAGCGUGGGUAGCAAACAGGAUUAGAUACCCUGGUAGUCCACGCCGUAAACGAUGAGCACUAGGUGUUGGGCCCGUUAGGGCUCAGUGCCGCAGUUAACGCAAUAAGUGCUCCGCCUGGGGAGUACGCUCGCAAGAGU